rnacentral:rRNA from 1 species
UACAGAGGGUGCGAGCGUUAAUCGGAGUUACUGGGCGUAAAGGGCGCGUAGGCGGUUAUAUAAGUUAGAUGUGAAAUCCCUGGGCUUAACCUAGGAACUGCAUCUAAGACUGUAUGACUGGAGUAUUGUAGAGGGUAGUGGAAUUUCCGGUGUAGCGGUGAAAUGCGUAGAGAUCGGAAGGAACACCAGUGGCGAAGGCGGCUACCUGGACAAAUACUGACGCUGAGGCGCGAAAGCGUGGGGAGCAAACAGG